AAGUCGAGGGGCAGCAUGGUCUUAGCUUGCUAAGACUGAUGGCGACCGGCGCACGGGUGAGUAACACGUAUCCAACCUGCCGUCUACUCUUGGACAGCCUUCUGAAAGGAAGAUUAAUACAAGAUGGCAUCAUGAGUCCACAUGUUCACAUGAUUAAAGGUAUUCCGGUAGACGAUGGGGAUGCGUUCCAUUAGAUAGUAGGCGGGGUAACGGCCCACCUAGUCUUCGAUGGAUAGGGGUUCUGAGAGGAAGGUCCCCCACAUUGGAACUGAGACACGGUCCAAACUCCUACGGGAGGCAGCAGUGAGGAAUAUUGGUCAAUGGGCGAGAGCCUGAACCAGCCAAGUAGCGUGAAGGAUGACUGCCCUAUGGGUUGUAAACUUCUUUUAUAAAGGAAUAAAGUCGGGUAUGCAUACCCGUUUGCAUGUACUUUAUGAAUAAGGAUCGGCUAACUCCGUGCCAGCAGCCGCGGUAAUACGGAGGAUCCGAGCGUUAUCCGGAUUUAUUGGGUUUAAAGGGAGCGUAGAUGGAUGUUUAAGUCAGUUGUGAAAGUUUGCGGCUCAACCGUAAAAUUGCAGUUGAUACUGGAUAUCUUGAGUGCAGUUGAGGCAGGCGGAAUUCGUGGUGUAGCGGUGAAAUGCUUAGAUAUCACGAAGAACUCCGAUUGCGAAGGCAGCCUGCUAAGCUGCAACUGACAUUG
rnacentral:rRNA from 1 species